rnacentral:piRNA from 1 species
AGCACAUGCGCAGAAUCAUCGUGGUGCAC